UACGAAGGGGGCUAGCGUUGCUCGGAAUCACUGGGCGUAAAGCGCACGUAGGCGGAUUGUUAAGUCAGGGGUGAAAUCCUGGAGCUCAACUCCAGAACUGCCUUUGAUACUGAAGAUUCUGAGUUCGGGAGAGGUGAGUGGAACUGCGAGUGUAGAGGUGAAAUUCGUAGAUAUUCGCAAGAACACCAGUGGCGAAGGCGGCUCACUGGCCCGAUACUGACGCUGA
rnacentral:rRNA from 1 species